UCCAAGACUGACUUCGAGCUCAUUUGUGAUCCAUGUGAUAGGAGGACCAGUAGAACACAAAGAUUUCAGGCACUUACUGGAAGCUGAAGCAGUUUGUGAAAGAAGCAUUUAAGAAAUAACUGACAUUCAAGCAGCCCUUUAAACUUGGCCAAGCCAUUAACAGACGUUACUUCAUUCGAGCCAACAAGCACGGGAGGUGGGUCGGGUGUGAGCUGGAGCAGCAAAUGGCAAACCGCUCCAGCGUCUUUGCCAAGAAAACCCCGAAUGCGGUCACAGAGAGUCGGGCACGACUGAAACACGACUGAACAACAGCUCUGGGAGGAAGCCGAGGGCUGGGAGGUUGAUGACAAUUUGAACAGCUGUAAAGAGGACCCUGCCUCCCAAAUACCCCAUGAGUUCACCAAUGCCUAAAAAUAUACAAUUAGAG